rnacentral:lncRNA from 1 species
CGCAGAUAUCGAGGUAGAAACAGUUUCGUGCCUGAGAUUCCGAGGGUGGUGGUGGUGUCUUCUCUUCAAUUACUUCGGUUUCCUCUUCGUUUUCUAAACAUCACCAUAUAUAUGUGUAUAUAAGAAUGAAUGCCAUGUAAUGCUCAUGAGAGUGCAAAGAUAAUAAGAAUUUAUUAUCUAAGGUUCUUGAAUACAAUUUUAAUUCACGGUUCACCGGAAAACUAGGGUUUCCGGAGUCACUAAAGGAAUUCAAAGGGCAGGGGUGGGGGUUGUGGGUUCUAAUUAUCAAACAAGGUCCAAUUCAAACCAAACUCUACCCAAGGCUUCUAAAUAAUGUUUAAAGUUAAAAUAAAAAGGUUUGGGAAUUUUUGGAAUUACCAUUUAUUUUCUAAAAAUCCAGAACUAAUGUUUUAUGUUAUUUUAAAUACUCCAAAAUUCCCUAUUUAACUUAAAAACCAUGAAACUAUUUUUAUUAAAUACUAUGGAAAAUUAGGAAUCUAGGAAAAUUGGUUUGGCAUUUUUAUCGUUUUUCUACAAUUUUCUAUAGAUUUUCAAAGUUUCAUAGAAAAAGAAAAGGAGAAAAUCAUGAACAGUACUGGGCCGAAAGUAACCCAGACGACCCAGCCUGCACAGGAAUAGGGACGCGCCCACGCGCGCCCGCACGCGCGAUGGCGACUUUGCGAACAAGCCCUUGCAGUUUUGAAUAACCCGAAGGAGUCCAAACAGUAUUUGAAACAGUCGCUGACCCUUUGCAGAAAUGCCCUCGAACUUCCAUUUCUUCCCCACAAACAUCCCUGGCCAUGGUGUGCUCGCAGAUCACCCCUGACGCGGCUCGUACUGGCCAUGGCCGGUGAUGGCUGCUAUGGCUAAUUACCGGGGAGGCAUCACUGACCUAAGGCGACCUAGGAACAUCCAUUUACUAGACAUAAAUCUUACUGGAAACUACCUCACCACGAUUAUGGCGGAAACCGAGCUUACGAACACAUGUUCCCACCAAAUCAUGGUUGAACUAGGUAAAUGAGUGCCACAGUGAGCUUCACAAACAUGAGGAGACAUGAAAACAACGCUUGAUUUGGACGGUGCCUUACCAGAACGGAUUGGCAACGGUGGAACUGUUCUUCGCGGUGGCGGAGACAAAUUUGGGGGAAAUUUGAAAUUCAAGAGCUCGGGUGGAUGAUUAAGGGUGGGAGCGGGUGCUAUGGCUUCACAAAGAACUCUAGUUCUACUACGCACACUUAAUUUGAGAGAAGGGGACAGAGGUGGCGCGAAUUCGGCUCCAAUGCAACUCACGGUGUGGGAUGAUCUCACCUCGCCAUGGACCACCGUGCUAUUUAUAGCCACGGCGACCCGACAGAUGGUCUCCGGCCACGGAUAGCAUCACAAGCACAUGCAUACCAUGUCGGUAGGAGGCACAGUGAGGCAGAUCGCGGCAUGAGCGGCACCACGGCAAAAGUUACCAAG